rnacentral:rRNA from 1 species
UCUCAACAAGCUCAAGCAACUCAGCAUCAUCAACAUGUCCGCCUUGUUCAAGUACACCAAAAUAAAUGGCACACCACCUGACGAGCCAACAAAAUGUGCUCUCUGGUCUGCGGCAUCGGACCAUCAGCCGCCGAUACCACCAAAAUCGCUCCGUCCAUCUGAGCCGCACCGUAAUCAUGUUCUUCACAUAAUCCGCGUGU